rnacentral:rRNA from 1 species
GACGAACGCUGGCGGCGUGCUUAACACAUGCAAGUCGAACGGUGAACGAGGGAGCUUGCUCCCUCCGGAUCAGUGGCGAACGGGUGAGUAACACGUGAGCAAUCUGCCCCGAACUCUGGGAUAAGCGUUGGAAACGACGUCUAAUACCGGAUACGACGCGGGAGGGCAUCCUCUCCGCGUGGAAAGAACUUCGGUUCGGGAUGAGCUCGCGGCCUAUCAGCUUGUUGGUGAGGUAACGGCUCACCAAGGCGACGACGGGUAGCCGGCCUGAGAGGGUGACGGGCCACAGUGGGAGAGAUACAGGCCCAGGCCCCCCCGGGGGGGAGGCGGGGGGAAAUGUGGAACAAGGGGCGCAGCCCGGAUGCAGCACCGCCGGGGGGGGAACGACGGCCUUGGGUUUGUAACCCUCUUUUAGCGGGAAAGAAGCAAAAGGGAGGGUCCCUGAAAAAAAAGCCCCGCCAAACUACGUC